UACGUAGGGUGCGAGCGUUGUCCGGAAUUAUUGGGGCGUAAAGAGCUUGUAGGCGGUUUGUCGCGUCUGCUGUGAAAAUCCGGGGCUCAACCCCGGACUUGCAGUGGGUACGGGCAGACUAGAGUGAUGUAGGGGAGACUGGAAUUCCUGGUGUAGCGGUGAAAUGCGCAGAUAUCAGGAGGAACACCGGUGGCGAAGGCGGGUCUCUGGGCCGUAACUGACGCUGAGGAGCGAAAGCAUGGGGAGCGAACAGG
rnacentral:rRNA from 1 species